UCGAUGGGAAACAGGUUAAUAUUCCUGUACUUGGUGUUACUGCGAAGGGGGGACGGAGAAGGCUAUGUUGGCCGGGCGACGGUUGUCCCGGUUUAAGCAUGUAGGCGGAGAUUCCAGGUAAAUCCGGAGUCUUGUUAACGCUGAGGUGUGAUGACGAGGCACUACGGUGCUGAAGUAACAAAUGCCCUGCUUCCAGGAAAAGCCUCUAAGCAUCAGGUAACACAAAAUCGUACCCCAAACCGACACAGGUGGUCAGGUAGAGAAUACCAAGGCGCUUGAGAGAACUCGGGUGAAGGAACUAGGCAAAAUGGUGCCGUAACUUCGGGAGAAGGCACGCUGAUAUGUAGGUGAAGUGAUUUACUCAUGGAGCUGAAAUCAGUCGAAGAUACCAGCUGGCUGCAACUGUUUAUUAAAAACACAGCACUGUGCAAACACGAAAGUGGACGUAUACGGUGUGACGCCUGCCCGGUGCCGGAAGGUUAAUUGAUGGGGUUAUCCGUAAGGAGAAGCUCUUGAUCGAAGCCCCGGUAAACGGCGGCCGUAACUAUAACGGUCCUAAGGUAGCGAAAUUCCUUGUCGGGUAAGUUCCGACCUGCACGAAUGGCGUAAUGAUGGCCAGGCUGUCUCCACCCGAGACUCAGUGAAAUUGAACUCGCUGUGAAGAUGCAGUGUACCCGCGGCAAGACGGAAAGACCCCGUGAACCUUUACUAUAGCUUGACACUGAACACUGGUCCUUGAUGUGUAGGAUAGGUGGGAGGCUUUGAAGUGUGGACGCCAGUCUGCAUGGAGCCAACCUUGAAAUACCACCCUUUAAUGGCUGGUGUUCUAACGUAGACCCGUGAUCCGGGUUGCGGACAGUGUCUGGUGGGUAGUUUGACUGGGGCGGUCUCCUCCUAAAGAGUAACGGAGGAGCACGAAGGUUAGCUAAUCCUGGUCGGACAUCAGGAGGUUAGUGCAAAGGCAUAAGCUAGCUUGACUGCGAGAGUGACGGCUCGAGCAGGUGCGAAAGCAGGUCUUAGUGAUCCGGUGGUUCUGAAUGGAAGGGCCAUCGCUCAACGGAUAAAAGGUACUCCGGGGAUAACAGGCUGAUACCGCCCAAGAGUUCAUAUCGACGGCGGUGUUUGGCACCUCGAUGUCGGCUCAUCACAUCCUGGGGCUGAAGUAGGUCCCAAGGGUAUGGCUGUUCGCCAUUUAAAGUGGUACGCGAGCUGGGUUUAGAACGUCGUGAGACAGUUCGGUCCCUAUCUGCCGUGGGCGCUGGAGAAUUGAGGGGGGCUGCUCCUAGUACGAGAGGACCGGAGUGGACGCAUCACUGGUGUUCGGGUUGUCAUGCCAAUGGCAUUGCCCGGUAGCUAAAUGCGGAAGAGAUAAGUGCUGAAAGCAUCUAAGCACGAAACUUGCCCCGAGAUGAGUUCUCCCUGACCCUUUAAGGGUCCUGAAGGAACGUUGAAGACGACGACGUUGAUAGGUCGGGUGUGUAAGCGUAGCGAUACGUUGAGCUAACCGAUACUAAUGAACCGUGAGGCUUAACCUUACAACGCCGAAG
rnacentral:rRNA from 1 species